CAUCAAACUGAAUGAUAUCACAAUGCAUAUUUUGAACAUGCCUUCCUGAUGCCUGUCUUGGACCCAGGACGAGCGCACUCGGGCUCCCCUCCCUAAUCUCCGUGAACUCCAGGAGGCCACUUCGCCUGGCUCAGUGGAGCCCUUCCCUGGAGCCAGCUGUGCAUCAUUUUAAGACCCAGUAAGAUGCCUUCCUGAUGCCUGUCUUGGACCCAGGCUCCCCUCCCUCGUCUCGGUGAACUCCCAGAGGCCACCUCGCCUGGCUCAGUGGAGCCCUUCCCUGGAGCCAGCUGUGCAUCAUUUUAAGACCCAGUAAGGACCAAAGGCUUGAGAACCACAACCAGAUGUUUUCUUCUCAGCAUUUGAAGGCCUGCCUGAAGUCUCAGUUCCUCAAGGACUGAUCCUAAGCUCUGUUCUGGUUACCGAACACCCACUGACCACAAAUAUGGAAGGACCCUGAUUGCAAUGGGUACCAUGUGAAAGGGGAAAUAAAUCAAUACAAAUGAUAAAACCCAUUGGACAUACAUCCUAGUUUGUAGUGUGUGUGAAUAUUCUAGGUGGUGAGACUGAGCCAACAUUGAGACGAAACAACUUUUUAAAAUCACUGCAUGAUAUU
rnacentral:lncRNA from 1 species